GAUGAAGAACGUAGCGAAAUGCGAUAAGUAAUGUGAAUUGCAGAAUUCAGUGAAUCAUCGAAUCUUUGAACGCACAUUGCGCCCAUUAGUAUUCUAGUGGGCAUGCCUGUUCGAGCGUCAUUAAGUCCACUUAAGCCCUGCUUAGUGUUGGGAGACUGCUCCAGCGGUGCUACCCUGUAGCUACCCUGCAGCUCCUCAAAGACAGCGGCAGAGUUGUGGUAUCCUCUGAGCUUAGUAACUUGUUCUAGCUUUCGAGUACACCACUUCCCCUGCCGUAAAACCCUUAAUUUUUAAUGGUUGACCUCGGAUCAGGUAGGAAUACCCGCUGAACUUAAGCAUAUCAAUAAGCGGAGGA
rnacentral:misc_RNA from 1 species